GUGCUCAUUGUCAUUUUCACAUAAAGAUAUAAAAGCUCUCUAGGUUUUGUAUGUAUGUAUUUUGGACCUCAUGUCUCUUUUUUCCAACGGGCCCAACCAUGAAUGACACAUUUCAUUGUGUCAUUUCCACUAUCUUUCAUUAAAGCAUCGUUAUUUGAUCUACAUUGACCAGCAAUAUGUUGUGAUUCAGGUUGGAUUGGUCGGUCCAACAUUUUUACUGGAUCAGGAUAACGCCCGAGGACCUCUGUCUCUA
rnacentral:lncRNA from 1 species